rnacentral:rRNA from 1 species
UAGGGAAUCUUCGGCAAUGGACGAAAGUCUGACCGAGCAACGCCGCGUGAGUGAAGAAGGUUUUCGGAUCGUAAAACUCUGUUGUUAGAGAAGAACAAGGACGUUAGUAACUGAACGUCCCCUGACGGUAUCUAACCAGAAAGCCACGGCUAACUACGUGCCAGCAGCCGCGGUAAUACGUAGGUGGCAAGCGUUGUCCGGAUUUAUUGGGCGUAAAGCGAGCGCAGGCGGUUUCUUAAGUCUGAUGUGAAAGCCCCCGGCUCAACCGGGGAGGGUCAGUGGAAACUGGGAGACUUGAGGGCAGAGGAGGAGAGUGGAAUUCCAUGUGUAGCGGUGAAAUGCGUAGAUAGAUGGAGGAACACCGGUGGCGAAGGCGGCUCUCUGGGCUGUAACUGACGCUGAGGCUCGAAAGCGUGGGGAGCAAACAGG